UACGUAGGCAGCGAGCGUUGUUCGGAAUUACUGGGCGUAAAGGGCGCGUAGGCGGCCUUGUAAGUCCUGUGUGAAAUCCCCCGGCUCAACUGGGGAACUGCACAGGAGACUGCUUGGCUUGAGUUCGGGAGAGGGAAGCGGAAUUCCGGGUGUAGCGGUGAAAUGCGUAGAUAUCCGGAGGAACACCGGUGGCGAAGGCGGCUUCCUGGACCGACACUGACGCUGAGGCGCGAAAGCCAGGGGAGCAAACGGG
rnacentral:rRNA from 1 species